CGGCUACAUCAUAUUCAAAAACUGGUUCAUGUACGAUCACCAAAGUUAAGCAAUAUCGAGCCUGCUCAGUACCUAGAUGGGUGACCGCUCGGGAAUACCAGGUGCUGUAUG